rnacentral:rRNA from 2 species
CGCUGCUAUAAUGCAGUCGAACGAACUCUGGUAUUGAUUGGUGCUUGCAUCAUGAUUUACAUUUGAGUGAGUGGCGAACUGGUGAGUAACACGUGGGAAACCUGCCCAGAAGCGGGGGAUAACACCUGGAAACAGAUGCUAAUACCGCAUAACAACUUGGACCGCAUGGUCCGAGUUUGAAAGAUGGCUUCGGCUAUCACUUUUGGAUGGUCCCGCGGCGUAUUAGCUAGAUGGUGGGGUAACGGCUCACCAUGGCAAUGAUACGUAGCCGACCUGAGAGGGUAAUCGGCCACAUUGGGACUGAGACACGGCCCAAACUCCUACGGGAGGCAGCAGUAGGGAAUCUUCCACAAUGGACGAAAGUCUGAUGGAGCAACGCCGCGUGAGUGAAGAAGGGUUUCGGCUCGUAAAACUCUGUUGUUAAAGAAGAACAUAUCUGAGAGUAACUGUUCAGGUAUUGACGGUAUUUAACCAGAAAGCCACGGCUAACUACGUGCCAGCAGCCGCGGUAAUACGUAGGUGGCAAGCGUUGUCCGGAUUUAUUGGGCGUAAAGCGAGCGCAGGCGGUUUUUUAAGUCUGAUGUGAAAGCCUUCGGCUCAACCGAAGAAGUGCAUCGGAAACUGGGAAACUUGAGUGCAGAAGAGGACAGUGGAACUCCAUGUGUAGCGGUGAAAUGCGUAGAUAUAUGGAAGAACACCAGUGGCGAAGGCGGCUGUCUGGUCUGUAACUGACGCUGAGGCUCGAAAGUAUGGGUAGCAAACAGGAUUAGAUACCCUGGUAGUCCAUACCGUAAACGAUGAAUGCUAAGUGUUGGAGGGUUUCCGCCCUUCAGUGCUGCAGCUAACGCAUUAAGCAU